ensembl:snRNA U6 U6 spliceosomal RNA
GUGCUUGCUUCGGCAGCACAUACACUAAAAGUGAAACGAUACAGACAAGAUUGGCAUGGCCCCUGCACAAGGAUGACAUGCAAAUUCACGAAGCAUAGACACUAACU